GGAGUCUGGGCCGUAUCUCAGUCCCAAUGUGGCCGAUCACCCUCUCAGGCCGGCUACCGAUCGUCGCCUUGGUGGGCCGUUGCCCCGCCAACUAGCUAAUCGGACGCAAGCUCAUCCCCUGCCGAUAAAUCUUUUGUCAACCUCCCAUGGGGGAGGCCACGAUAUCCGGUAUUACCCGCGCGUUGGCACGGCUAUUCCCGGGCAGGGGGCAGAUUGCUUACGCGUUACUCACCCGUUCGCCGCUAUGCAUUGCUGCACCGCUCGACUUGCAUGUAUAAGACACGCCACCAGCGUUCGUUCUGAGCCAUGAUCAAACGCU
rnacentral:rRNA from 1 species